ensembl:lncRNA
UUGGGCAUGAUAACAUUGUAUUUCACAGUUCUGUUUAACAUGUUAAAACCAGAAAUCAAAGAAGAUGCAGAUGUCAUUUUCCAGGUUAAAUACUGAAUUCAUUCAUACAUGUGUAUAUUCUGUCACUGCCUUUGUUUUGAUAUCUACUAUCCAAAUUUUAAUUUAAUUAAUUGCUUCUUUGCGGUACUAGGGAUGGAACCCAGGGCCUCGCCUGUAUCAGACAAGUGCUCUGUCACUGAGCUACACCUCUAGCCCUGGAAUUCUGCUGUCUCCGAUUUCUUUCUCUGACUUUAUUGGGUGGUCGAGGGCGGAGGGUGGUCCCCAGUCCUCUUGUUCACAUGCACAUUACCACAGGCUUUCCUCCUUUUCCUAGGAAAGUAUGUGAUGGUGAUGGGAGUGGUGCAGGCCUGUAGCCCCGAGCCGUGCCUUCAAGCUGUGAAGAUGACAGAUCUUUCCGAUAAUCCCCUCCACGAAAGCAUGUGGGAACUGGAAGUGGAGGAUUUACACAGGAACAUUCCUUAGGUGACACUGGAACUGGCAUUACAAACAACCUUUCCCCCCGUAAUGAUCUCAGUUCUGACUGUGUGGAUUCAUGGACAUCACUCAUGUAUAUUUUAUCGACAUUGUGUAUUUCUCAAAAGAGCCACAGAGAGAACUGCUUUGGUUGACGCAGGCGUCUGGAUGCAGGGAUUUUUAAGGGUUAGGAGGCUGCAGUUAACUCGGCCUCCACUGUCCCUUGCUUUGACUGUGUUUGCUGAUGAAAAGCAGAUGCUGGGAUUAUAAACGUACACUACCAUGCCGGGCACAUUCAGCUGUCUUUGUGAAGCCAGAUCCCACCCAGAUAUUGAGGAACCAUUUUGUUAGCUAGCUUCCUUCACAGGGCGUGGGGGCAGUUUUAGAUGUUGUCAGAAUUUCUCUUUGAAAUUAAAAAACCGAGAAUGAGAACAACUUUCAUUACUUUACCUAAACUUCUGUUUCAUAGCUGUCAAGACACAGCAAGGAAGCAAUCUCCUGGUUUAGAGUUCUUACAUCUUUUUGUACGGAAUGAAUUGUGUUAUGAUUGUAUUGAAUGUUGGAUUUCUGUUCCUACUUCUUUAUUACACAUGCUGGAUUUAUCUUUAGAGUAUAAAUACCAAGGAAGUCAUACUGUAUUCCAACAUUGCAGUAGAGUUUUGCCUGAAUUAUUGAUACUGUACCACUAAUAAAUUUUUAUGUGCUGUGUUUUUUAAAAAUAAACUUUAUUUUUAAAAGCAGUUUUGGGUUUGCAGAAAAAAAUCAAGCAGAAAGUAUAUAUAUGUUUCCAUAUGCCCCACACUCUCCUCCCCAGCUUCUAUUAUUAACAUCUGUUAGUGUGACACAUUUAUUACUAUUGAUGGGCAUUUGAUUACAUUGUUACAUUGAUAUAUUCUUAUCAGCCAGCUUUUACACUAGGAUUCUUGCUGUGUGCUACAUUCUGUGGGUUUUACAAAUGCAUAAUGACAUGGAUCAAUCUCAUAAAGAUCUUCCAUGUUCCCUCCUUUCAUCAACCUCCCAACCACUGAUCUAUUUCCUGUUUUGCCUUUUGCAGAGUAUCAUAUAGUUGGUUCAUACAGUAUGUAGAUUUUAUAGCCUGGCUGCUUUCACUUAAAGUGCAUUCAAAGUUUCUCCAUGUCUUUUUGCAGCAUUUCUUUUUGUCACCAAAGGUGAUGCUCCAUUAUAUGCACGUAGUUUGUUCAUCCAGUCUACCUGUUGAAGGACAUCUUGUUUGAUCCCAGUCUUUGAGAAUCAUGAAGGGAGCUGUGGUGCAGUUUUGUGUGGACAGAAAGUUUUCUCCUCAUCGAGGUUUGCAGCUGAGAUCUGCAACUCCCUGGGCUAGAGACCCUGGGAAGGAGGAGUCAGAGCCGAUGCCCACAGCACUGGUGGAGGCCUCCUCUAUAGGGAGCCUGGAGUCCUGAAGACUAGGAGUACGAGCCACUCAGCCCCAAGGCCUUGGAGGAGGAGAAGCCAACACGCAGGAACCUGGCCAUCUCCCUCCCCAGCAUCCCAGACCUUCUUCAGGGCUGGGCUGCUGCCAAGGAUGUCAGGAGGUGAUACCAAGUUCCCUUGUCUAAAGUGAGUCCAUUUCCAGUCAGAUACUAAGUAAACAGUGAUGUGCUUGGCACGUGGGUGAGUAGAACAUUUGCUUCUCCCCAAAUGGGACAGAGCUGCGCUAACACAAGGCCGUUGGCCUUGUGGAGCUGUUGAGAACUUGAAAUAUGACUGGUGUGCCUGGUAGCAUGGCCAGUUAGGAAACAGAAAUAGAGAAGCUUCCUCUCCUUCAGGGUGGGCUGUGCAGAGUGGCUUACAGUGGGGAAACCUGACACACUGCCUUGGCCAGGUGACCAAGGUGAACAUCAACAUUACAUCAGUUGUCAGUGUGGU